GGCUAAGGGUGGGGCAUGCUGGGUAGGUGAUAAUUGUAGUCUAUUAGUAAGUGUAGGGCAGCCUAUCCGAGUAAAAUUACACAGUGACCUCAGUGACAUGGACAGCUAGUAUCACUUGCUUACUCCAAUGAGUCCUGCACCUCCAAAUGCUAUAAUGCAUCACCACCUACUCUCUCUGCAUCCCUCCAGAGGAGAGUUACUCUCACUGUGUGCCUGUCUGACCUUGUAGAACAGGAGGAGUCAUCUGCGAUGCAGAUUCUGCAUUGAAAAGUAAUUGUUAGCUGUCAAGGAAGAAGGUAAAUUUUGUGGAGAUCCAACUAAUUAAGAAAUCUGACUGUAUCCGAAAAAGAACAUUGGUGCCAUUAUUAUUUGUACUGCAAACCAGAAGGCUUUUAAAGUAUAUUUUUAGAACUCAUAAUUCAAUAUUUGU